rnacentral:rRNA from 1 species
UGAGGAAUAUUGCGCAAUGGCCGAAAGGCUGACGCAGCGACGCCGCGUGGGGGAUGACGGCCUUCGGGUUGUAAACACUUGUCAGUGGGGAAGAACACAAUGACUGUACCCACAGAGGAAGCCCCGGCUAACUACGUGCCAGCAGCCGCGGUAAGACGUAGGGGGCGAGCGUUGUUCGGAAUUACUGGGCGUAAAGAGCUCGUAGGCUGGAAACUAAGUCUUUAAACAAAUCUCCCGGCUUAACCGGGAACAGUUUAGAGAUACUGAUUUUCUUGAGAACAGGAGAGGGGAAUGGAAUUCCUAGUGUAGCGGUGAAAUGCGUAGAUAGUAGGAGGAACACCAGUGGCGAAGGCGGGUCUCUGGCCUGUUUCUGACGCUGAGGAGCGAAAGCUGGGGGAGCGAACG